CUGGGCUCAACUACUAGCUGCAAACCUCUGGAAACAGAGGAAUCCUUAGAGGGUGCUAGAUAGGUGCUGCAUGGUUGCCGUCAGCUCGUGCCGUGAGGUGUACCUUUAAGUAGGGUAACGAGCGCAACCCUCGUCCUGUGUUAAAUAUACACAGGAGACUGCUCGCGCAAGUGAGAGGAAGGGGAGGACGACGUCAAAUCAGCAUGGCUCUUACGUCCAGGGCUACACACAUGAUACAAUGGCCGGUACAAAGGGUUGCCAAACCGCGAGGUGGAGCUAAUCCCAAAAAACCGGCCUCAGUUCGGAUUGAAGGCUGAAAUUCGCCUUCAUGAAGUCGGAAUCGCUAGUAAACGCGCAUCAGCUACGGCGCGUUGAAUACGUUCU
rnacentral:rRNA from 1 species